ACAGAGCCCUAAAAGCUCUAAGUCAUCGACGAACUGAAGUUUCUCCGUGAAGUUUAAAAUCUUUACUGUUGUCAGACUACAAACUGAGAAUUAUUGCAAAGAACAACAACAAUUCCUGCAUCCAACGUAAACUCGUAAUUAUAUUCUCUGAACAAAUGGAUUUCCGUAUGGAUGUUUCCCUGUUGCUGAUUAUUUUUGUGGCGUUUUCUGCGGUUAACGGCCGUAAAUCAACAAGUGAAUAUGCAGAAGAGAGAAAUUAAACCUAGCAAUUUGAUCGUAACAUGGAGAACGAUAACUGAAAAAACAAA